rnacentral:rRNA from 1 species
AACGCGAAGAACCUUACCAAGUCUUGACAUCCCAAUGACCGGAACUUAACCGUUCCUUCCCUUCGGGGCAUUGGAGACAGGUGGUGCAUGGUUGUCGUCAGCUCGUGUCGUGAGAUGUUGGGUUAAGUCCCGCAACGAGCGCAACCCUUAUCCUUAGUAGCCAGCAGUUCGGCUGGGCACUCUAGGGAGACUGCCAGGGAUAACCUGGAGGAAGGUGGGGAUGACGUCAAAUCAUCAUGCUCCUUAUGAUUUGGGCUACACACGUGCUACAAUGGCGUAAACAAAGGGAAGCGACCCCGCGAGGGCAAGCAAAUCUCAAAAAUAACGUCUCAGUUCGGAUUGCAGGCUGCAACUCGCCUGCAUGAAGCUGGAAUCGCUAGUAAUCGCGAAUCAGAAUGUCGCGGUGAAUACGUUCCCGGGUCUUGUACACACCG